UGUAAAUAAGUGUUUUUUAUGUUUUAAAAUAUGUCUGUACGUAUAAAUUUACAUAGAAUACGAUUGACAUGUGUUUUUGUUGUGUGAGAUCAACAGUUCGCGUGGUGUGUGGGGUAUUUAAAAGCUUGAAUUUUAAGUGUUUGUUUUUCAGUAACGUACGCUUUGUGUAGUUCGCGAAAUGGCGCUGCUCUGUUGUCUACGAGUCGUAGUACGACCACACCCUGUCUCUGUCGCUUUAAGAUUGACAACUAAUGUAUCCAAUGAAAAACGUUUUGCCAGUUUUCGGGCAAGAUAAUUGGCUGUCGAUGACAUCAUGUAGUAGAGAAUGUGGGCGGGCUCUGAGCUGCAAGGGGAGAGUGGCGCGAGCGGAGGUCCUGCGGGCGCCAUUAGAUGGAAGUGUAGGUAUCGGAGUGAUGUGUAGCCACAGAUUUUGUUACUGUUUUAUUUACCUACACAUAUAUAGAAGUUUAAGCGAAAUGUGUGUAUAUAACGCCACGUUCUGUUAGUGUCGUUUUAUAUCGACAAAACGGGAUGUCGUAUCUUCAAUGUACAAGCAGUGGUUGUUUCGGAGACGGAGAAGCUGUUGUACAAGAUGGCGCCUGAGGCUCCCUGUGGGGUUCGUCGAGAGCGAGCAGCGCGGGGGCGAGACUCGGCGCGCUCCCGGCACCGAGCGUGGGCACGAGCGAUGGGCAAGAAGCCAAGACAGGAGCUUGAACUUACUGUUUUUAACCGUGCGUUUUAUAAAACAACGGAUUUCGAGCAGGCUACUAAAUCUGAGGUGGGCUCCAGAUGGAUGAACGCUGGAUGUCACAACGUUUUGCAGCUGUGUUCUAGGAGGCUGUGUUGUCCAGUGGUUAAAGACACAGGCUUGGACCCAGGAAGUCCCCGGUUCAAAUCCCAGCUCACACACUGUGUGACCCUGAGCAAGUCACUUAACCUCCUUGUGCUCCGUCUUUCGGGUGAGACGUUGUUGCAAGUGACUCUGCAGCUGAUGCAUAGUUCAUACACCCUAGUCUCCUAUCUUGUAAAGUGCUUUGUGAUGGUGGUCUGCUAUGAAAGGUGUUAUAUAAAAUAAAGAGUAUUGUUAUUA